GUCCCUGAAGAAAUAAUUGCGAAACGAAUAGCAAGAACUGGAAGUGAAUCGAGCUGCAACAAAAACGAAAUCAUUCAUCAUCAUGAAGAUAUGAAGUGGGGCUGGCGCGAUAAAGAUAUGAAACCCCACGAAAUCGAAGAAACAAGAAUUUUUAAUAAAAAGGAUUAAUGGGUAU